CCAAAAGAUAUUAUUUUAUAUAAAUAAAAAUAAAGUACUAAUCGUCCAUUACAAUCAAGAGUAAUAUAAAUAAAUAUAAAAAUACAAUAAAAAUAAAAUAAUAUCAAUUUGCAGGCGGAUGGUCGUCGUUGUCUCCACGUGAUGUGCCGCUGUCUCGACGGGUGCCUGAUGUGCCAGGAGCCUACAAGAAACAUAUCAAAAGCAUGAUUUGCAUAUCUAUAAAUAAAAAUAUAUAAAUCAUUAAAUUAAUACAAAAAUAUAUAUUUAAUAAUAUGUGUUUACUUGAGAUGGA
rnacentral:lncRNA from 1 species